rnacentral:misc_RNA from 1 species
AGAUUUUCCAGAGUCACGCAUAUCUUAACGACAUAAUUUAAUAUCGAAACAUGUAUACCAUCUAAUUUGGUACAUGACACUGCGCAGUUAACAUCUUUCCAACGAUGUGCAUUUCACACAAGAGAUUCGCAACCCUGUACAGUUUCUAUUUGAAAGGCUUAUCAUCCACUUCGCAAACUAUCAACACAAGGUUCUUCUUCCUUCUUCAAAAUGCGGACUUCACAGAGGAUAU